CAUAAAUAACCUGCUACAAACAGAAAGGGAGGAUGCAAAAUGCCACAAUACCAAGCCACUUGAUGGCUCCAUGCAAGAAGCCCUUGGAAAAAUUAUACCAGCAAUGACUCUGUUAGCAAAGAUACUGAGUUACAAUUUGUUGUAGAUUACAGUUUGUUGUCUCAGUCCAGGUAAAGUAGUGUCUCAAUAGAUUAACUCACAGUCCAGGUAAAUCACAGUCCAGGUAAGUUCUGCAGACAGCUAGCUUAAAUCACAGUCCAGGUAAGUUUUGCAGGCAACUAGCUUGAUCCGAAGUCUUGUCCGUUUCUCAGCUGAAGUCUUGUCCGGUUUUCAGCAACACUGGAAAUUCUUCCACCUUGGUCUUUACCGGCACUGGGACAAAGGCAGGAACUCAGGAUGGCUAAAGAAAAUCCUAUAGCAUUCUACUAAGAAAACAACCUUCUGAACAAUUUAGUACAUUAUCUCAAGGUUUUUUACAUUUGAAAUAAGCCUUAAUAGUGCUCAUUACUCAUUAGCUUCCAGGUGUGGGAGAACCAUUGUAGUUUAGUUAUUGGCAUUGAAAAUGACCAAACAUCAGGGACACCAGUAGCAUCUUCUGCUGGCUGUAGUGCCUGGGCAACCCCAGAUGGCCCUGGGGAGUGUCCCGGACUCAAACUGCUACUGGGCACAGGGAGCAAGAGCCUGCGAGACUGUGCCUCCAGGUCAGGUCUAGAUUUGGGCUCGCAGCAGUGGAAGAGCCAGUUCCCCGGCCAGGAGGCGGGGAAGGGCCAGUCGCCACCGCCUCUUGGAAAAUCCUUGCUGCGCUGUGACCGGCUUGCACACUCAGCAGCCGCCUCUCCGCUUCACGCACCCUCCGGUAACGAAAAGUAUUUAGUAAUAGCCUUUUGCUGCAACUUUUUUUCUGAUAAUCCUUCUUCUGAACAAAAUAACAGGUGUUAUUUUGACUUGUUUACAGAUUCUAACAAUAAGUAAGAGUGAUGAGCCAGGUGAGACCACAAGCGCAUCGCCCAGAGCUAAUCUGCAGCCUCUCCACACACCUAUAAGCCAGGACUGAAGAGGGAGAGAGGGAAUAGAUGUGAUUGAACAAAAUUCGCCUUACGUUUAUUACUUGGAUGCUAGUGUUCUUUGGAAAAGCAAACAAGCAAAAACAAAACUGCAAUAGUUUGAGAUUAAAAUUGUGUCCUCUGUGUAGGAAUUCUUUAUUUGCCUUGUGAGGUGGGCCACCCUCCUAAUCCCAGCAACUCAGGAGGCUGAGGCAGGAGGAUUGCAAGUUCUAGGCCAGCUUCAGCAAUUUAGUGAGACCCUGUUUAAAAAUAUUAAAAAAAAAAAGGUCUGGAGAGCCAUCUCAGUGGUAAAGCACCCCUGGGUUCAGUCCCCACUACCCAAAGGAACAAACAAACCCCAUUCUGCUAAAAGUUUUAAUUUGAGAUCUUACUCUUUGCUUCUUGACCACUCUCCUGUCCCCUGACCAGAGUGGGCUCUAUUCAAGGACUCAGAGACAACUCUCCCUAUUCAAGUCCUGAUACAUUGUAUAAAACCGGUGAUUCCCUGUAUGUGUUCUGAGCUAGGAAGCCAGCAACUGGCAGGGGAAUGGGGAGGCCUGGGUUUUAUUCAGGCUAACUGUUGCUUUGCAUACUUUUUUUUUUAACCCAGCCCAGCCUCUUUAUUUCUAGGUAGAUAGGCAGCAUGACUUCUGCACCCCACCUCAAAUCUACCUUCACACCCUUCUCUGAUGUUGACCCAAACCCCACUUCUUUUGCAGGCUCAAACAUGGAUUUGUCUAACGUUUUAUUUGGCUAUUUUCAUUAGAAUGCUCCUCUUGAUUGUCACAGAAUGAAAAUCUCCAUAUCAUUUUGUUUCUGAAUGUCUUGUUUUCAACAGUCAAUUUGUUUCUUGCAGGAGAAAAGUUGCUAAGAGACCAAAAUAAUUCCCCUAUAUCAAAGCUCUGCCUCUCACUGUAAAAGAUUCAAGGCAGCAGUGAGGCGAGUGGGGGGGUCCUCUCACAGCCGGACCCCAAGGCCACAGGCAGACCACCCAUCCAAGAACUUCAGUGUUAAGGCAAAGUCUGUGGUCACAGCAAAUCCCCUGUGAUAAAAACUGACACUUUUUUAUUAAAGUUAAGUAAGGUAAAAAUGUCCACUGGUAGGGUACUUUAAAGAUAUUUUUAGGACAUUUAAAGGACUGCAAUCUUUCCCAUCCUAUAAUCCUACUAAUGGACAGAAAUAGGUGCUCUCCUAUGGUGUGCAGUAACCAGACUCAAGACUCUUUCACCAGCCGUCUUGGUGGCCCCUGACCCCCACCAGCCCCUUGGCUCUCUAGCCUGGAUCUUGUAUUUGCAGUUGGGACCUACAGUCUGCUGGCUGGCUGCUCCAGUUGUCCCCCUUACUUUCUUUCACAGGGUGAACAAGCGUGAUGGGGACUAACAGCAUCUGGGCACCCCAGUGUGUCUCAGAUGGAUUUAAAAUUGUUUACAAAGACCAACAAAACUUGGAUUUUUUUUUUUUUAAACUGGAAUCAGGGGCACAUGGAAUUUGUUAUACCAUUCUUUG
rnacentral:lncRNA from 1 species